UAGGCUUGACAUGCAUAGGAAACCUGCCGUCUCUGGCAGGUUUCCUAUGCAUGUCAAGCCUAGGUAAGGUUCUUCGCGUUGCGUCGAAUUAAACCACAUGCUCCACCGCUUGUGCGGGCCCCCGUCAAUUCCUUUGAGUUUCAGCCUUGCGGCCGUACUCCCCAGGCGGGGCACUUCAUGCGUUAGCGCCGGCACCCAGGGGGUCGCUCCCCCAGGCACCUAGUGCCCAUCGUUUACGGCGUGGACUAC
rnacentral:misc_RNA from 1 species